AAUAAAGAAGAGUUCAGACAAUCUGGGAAAAUCCUUAUCUUCCAGUUCUAUUGGUUCUAAUUCAACAUACCUGACUUCAAAAUCCAAAUCCACAUCAAACACCUACCAUAAAAGGAACAGCCAUUCUGAUAAUGUCUUCUAAGAACAUAUCCUCACCAGUGGUCGAACAUUCAAGGUAAAGUGUAUAUCACAUUUGCUGAAUGCAUGAUUUCCAAGCGCUUGCAUAAGGACACUUGCAUGAAGUUUGAAUCAGCA
rnacentral:lncRNA from 1 species